AUGCCUGGAGUAAACUGUGCACGCGGCACCAAGGAAGAAGGAGCAUUUGAAGGCGCAACGAGAAGGGCUGCCGGCCGAUGGCCCAAAAUUUUUGUCACCUUGGCAAUGAUUGUCUUAUUUGUCAGGGCUGUGCAUGGAGCGGAGAUCGCAUGGGAGCACGAUGCGGUCCGUUCACAUCACACGGGGUUUCUGGGUACCACCCACACGCAGCUGAUCGAAAGUGUCGAAGAGGACUACCGCAGGAAAAUCGGCGACGUCAGCGACCUCAUGGCUCCGCAGAGGGGGUAUCACGACAAAAAAACAGUUCAACCGGCGACGUGGCUCAAACCCACAUUGAAGGGCCGGGGGGACGACAAGGUGACCUUAUGGCUCUGUAAUGACGAUUUGUAUCUUCUCGCCUUCAACACUACCAGCAACCUGCACACGGCAAAAGGGUACGACGCCUUAUUCACAGAGCCUUUCCUCCCUCUCCCCUUUGGUUCAUCGUACAAAGAGCUAAUGGGACACACUGCGCCCAAUGGAGAUCAAAGGAAUGCCCAUCUGCUUCUUGUUAGUGUUCCACUUGGUAGGGAAUCACUGCUAGAUGCCAUCCAUGUACUUAGCAACUACGACCCUGUUAACACUCCCAAGCAUGAAGUUCAGCUAGCAAUGGCCAAGAUUACACUAAUGGGGCCGGAAUCCUUAAGAUUCCAUCCCGUACGCAAUGCGUACAUUUUGGAGUGGGAAAGCGAAGAAUCAUACCUGACCUUGGAUCAGGCAAAAUAUUUGGUCAACUGGUCUUCGCUUAGUACAUUACUGGUGCAAUGGGAAGAUAGUGGCAGAAAAACAUGGCCAAGCUCCAAUGUCGCUAACAGCUUGCGCGCUGAAUUUGGUAUAAAAUCUGGGGAGUGCGCGCUCGGAGUGAUUGACCUGGUGCUGCGACCACGUUAA
rnacentral:rRNA from 1 species